rnacentral:tRNA from 1 species
GGGCCGGUAGUCUAGUCUGGAAGGAUGCCCGCCUCGCGUUGCUCCUUGGAGCACUGGAUCGCGGGAGAUCCCGGGUUCAAAUCCCGGCCGGUCCA